UUAUAUGUGUUUUCACAGUGU
rnacentral:piRNA from 1 species